rnacentral:lncRNA from 1 species
CGCAUCAACCUAGUCUAUAUAGUAAAUAGUAGAGGACCUACUCUAAAAGUAGGUAGUACUUAAAUCUACUUUAAAAGUAGAUUUAAAUCUGCUUCUGUGACAGGACAAUCACUAUCUUAAUAGAUCUGUUUCCCUUUUUGUAUUAAAUAACCUCUGAAGUCUCUUCCCCCAGCACCAGAUCAGUGAUUCUACAUAUAUGAAAGGAUUUAGGGUCUUCUAUCUCUGGAUCUCUUGAUUCUAAUAGCCUAUCUGAUCUUUUUCCCAUUAUAAAUACAUUGACCACCUGAUUCAUUAGUCUCUUAUGGACAUAAGUAGUAUGAAAGAAUUGCUUAUUGCCUGGUUAUUCCCCUAGAAUCGUUGAAUCUGGGUUCCUGAAGCUUCAAUAUUGAAAACUAUAUCUGAGGAAACCCCAUCAAAGUCUGUUGGUGAGGUCCAGUCUGAGAAAGUACAUAGGCAUAAUUUUUUUUCCUUGACCUGGGAGUUCUGGAAUUUGGCUAUAAUAUUCCUGAGAGUUUCCUUUUGGGAUCUCUUUCAGAAGGUAAUGAUGAAUUUUUUUCAAUUUCUAUUUUACCCUCUGGUUCUAGAAUAUUAAAACAGUUUUCCUUGAUAAUUUCCUGAAUGAUAACAUCCAGGCUCUUUUUUUGAUCAUGACUUGAUAUUCCUUGUCAUCAUCAUAGCUUUCAAUUGUCAGAAACUUUUUCUGUUGUCCACUUAUUUUCCUAGUCUAUUACUCAGCUUUUAACUCUUUGUUAAAGUAGGGCUCUGUUUCCAGAGUGGAGGUUGCACUGUCUCAGGCUUCUGGGGUUUUGUGCAGCUGUUUUCAGAGAUCCUUCUAUCUGACCAUAAGCACUCUUUUCUGUCCUGGAACUGUUAGGGUCUCCACCCCCCCUAUAGCUCUAAGAUUUAGUGUGCUAAAUUAACAAAGUUGUACUUUGCUGACACUGGGGAUAGGGCUGUGCUGGAACUGCACACUGGACUCCUACCCCAUUGCCACAGAUCCUCUCCGUUGACUUUCUAAGUCCUCCCUAGUGUCCUUGAGCUGAGAAGUCCAGAAGCCUCCCGCACUGCUGCUGAUUCAAAGGUCCCACUGAGGCUUGGGCUGGGGCUGUGCUGCACCAGGAGUGUACACUGGACUCCCACCCUCUUGUCACAGAUCUUUUCUGCUGUCUUUUUAAGUUGUCUUUAGCUGGAAAAUGUUUUACUCUGUCUUUUUGGGUGUUCUGAUGCUCUAACAUUUAAGAGUCAUUAUUUCAAGAAUUUGGAGUGGUUUAGCACAGAGGUUGGGCAAGUUCCUGUCUUUACUCUGCCAUCUUGGCUCUGCCUCCCAAGACACAAUUUUUCUUAAGUACCACUUUGGCUG